GCGCUCGUAGCUCAGUGGAUAGAGCAACAGGUUGCGGACCUGUAGGUCGGAGGUUCGAGUCCUCUCGAGCGCGCCA
rnacentral:tRNA from 3 species